CCUACGGGCGGCAGCAGUGAGGAAUAUUGGUCAAUGGACGCAAGUCUGAACCAGCCAUGCCGCGUGCAGGAAGACGGCUCUAUGAGUUGUAAACUGCUUUUGUACGAGGGUAAACGCAGAUACGCGUAUCUGUCUGAAAGUAUCGUACGAAUAAGGAUCGGCUAACUCCGUUCCAGCAGCCGCGGUAAUACGGAGGAUUCAAUCGUUAUCCGGAUUUAUUGGGUUUAAAGGGUGCGUAGGCGGUUGGAUAAGUUAGUGGUGAAAUUCCGAGGCUCAACUUCGGAAUUGCCUUGGAUACUGUUCGGCUAGAGAGUAGUUGCGGUAGGCGGAAUGUAUGGUGUAGCGGUGAAAUGCUUAGAGAUGAUACAGAACACCGAUUGCGAAGGCAGCUUACUGGGCUACAACUGACGUUGAGGCACGAAAGCGUGGGGAGCAAACAGGAUUAGAUACCCGAGUAGUC
rnacentral:rRNA from 1 species